AGAGUUUGAUCAUGGCUCAGGACGAACGCUGGCGGCGUGCCUAAUACAUGCAAGUCGAGCGGAUGACGAAGGAGCUUGCUCCUUCUGAUUCAGCGGCGGACGGGUGAGUAACACGUGGGCAACCUGCCCUGUAGAUUGGGAUAACUCCGGGAAACCGGGGCUAAUACCGAAUAAUCCUUCGGACCUCAUGGUCCGAUGUUGAAAGACGGCAUCUCGCUGUCACUACAGGAUGGGCCCGCGGCGCAUUAGCUAGUUGGUGAGGUAACGGCUCACCAAGGCGACGAUGCGUAGCCGACCUGAGAGGGUGAUCGGCCACACUGGGACUGAGACACGGCCCAGACUCCUACGGGAGGCAGCAGUAGGGAAUCUUCCACAAUGGACGAAAGUCUGAUGGAGCAACGCCGCGUGAGUGAAGAAGGUUCUCGGAUCGUAAAACUCUGUUGUGAGGGAAGAACAAGUACCGGAGUAACUGUCGGUACCUUGACGGUACCUCAUUAGAAAGCCACGGCUAACUACGUGCCAGCAGCCGCGGUAAUACGUAGGUGGCAAGCGUUGUCCGGAAUCAUUGGGCGUAAAGCGCGCGCAGGCGGUCCCUUAAGUCUGAUGUGAAAGCCCACGGCUCAACCGUGGAGGGUCAUUGGAAACUGGGGGACUUGAGUGCAGAAGAGGAAAGCGGAAUUCCAAGUGUAGCGGUGAAAUGCGUAGAGAUUUGGAGGAACACCAGUGGCGAAGGCGGCUUUCUGGUCUGUAACUGACGCUGAGGCGCGAAAGCGUGGGGAGCAAACAGGAUUAGAUACCCCGGUAGUCC
rnacentral:rRNA from 1 species